AGGGUUUGAUCCUGGCUCAGAACGAACGCUGGCGGCGUGGAUAAGACAUGCAAGUCGAACGGAAAUUGAGCAUAGCUUGCUAAGCUCGAUUUUAGUGGCGGACGGGUUAGUAACACGUGAGAUACCUACCCUUUAGACAGGAAUAGCCCAUGGAAACGUGGAUUAAUGCCUGAUAGUCUCUACGGAGUAAAUGAUGCCCCUUUAUUGAGGUGUCGCUAAAGGAUGGGCUCGCGGCCUAUCAGUUUGUUGGUGAGGUAAAAGCUCACCAAGACUACGACGGGUAGCUGGUCUGAGAGGACGAUCAGCAACACUGGAACUGAGACACGGUCCAGACACCUACGGGUGGCAGCAGUCGAGAAUCAUUCACAAUGGAGGAAACUCUGAUGGUGCAACGCCGCGUGGAGGAUGACGGCCCUAGGGUUGUAAACUCCUGUCAUUGGGGAGUAAGGCUUAUGCGUUAAUAGCGUGUAAGUUUGAUAGUACCCAAAGAGGAAGGGACGGCUAACUUCGUGCCAGCAGCCGCGGUAAUACGAAGGUCCCAAGCGUUGUUCGGAAUAACUGGGCGUAAAGCGUGUGUAGGCUGCGCGGAAAGUCAAAUGU
rnacentral:rRNA from 1 species